rnacentral:rRNA from 1 species
AUUGAACACUGGCGGCAGGCUUAACACAUGCAAGUCGAGCGGAGACUUCGGUCUUAGCGGCGAACGGGUGAGUAAUACCUAGGAAUCUGCCUAUUAGUGGGGGAUAACGAAUCGAAAGGUUCGCUAAUACCGCAUACGUCCUACGGGAGAAAGGGGGGAGUCUUUGGUACCUCUCGCUAAUAGAUGAGCCUAGGCCGGAUUAGCUAGUUGGUAGGGUAAAGGACCUACCAAGGCGACGAUCUGUAGCUGGUCUGAGAGGAUGGCCAGCCACACUGGAACGUGAGACACGGUCCAGACUCCUACGGGAGGCAGCAGUGGGGGAAGUAUUGGACAAUGGGGGCGAACCCCUGAUCCAGCCAUGCCGCGUGUGUGAAGAAGGCCUCGGUUGUAAG